AUUGAACGCUGGCGGCAGGCCUCACACAUGCAAGUCGAGCGAGCGGCGGACGGGUGAGUACUGUAUGUGAAACUGCCUGUUGGAGGGGGAUAACUACUGGAAACGGUAGCUAAUACCGCAUACCAUCAGAUGUGCCCAGAUGGGAUUAGCUAGUAUGUGGGGGAAUGGCGCACCUCGGCGACGAUCUCUAGCUGGUCUGAGAGGAUGACCAGCAACACUGGAACUGAGACACGGUCCAUGCUCCUACGGGAGGCAGCAGUGGGGAAUAUGGGACAAUGGGCGCAAGCCUGAUGCAGCCAUGCCGCGUGUGUGAAGAAGGCCUUCGGGUUGGAAAGCACUGUCAGCGGGGAGGCGUUACCCGAAGAAGAAGCACCGGCUAACUCCGUGCCAGCAGCCGCGGUAAUAC
rnacentral:rRNA from 1 species